rnacentral:tRNA from 1 species
UAGCUGAGUGGUAAAGCACUUGUUUUCAGAACCGAGGGUCCCGGGUUCGAAUCCUGG